rnacentral:rRNA from 1 species
AUUGAACGCUGGCGGCAUGCCUUACACAUGCAAGUCGAACGGUAACAGGUCUUCGGAUGCUGACGAGUGGCGAACGGGUGAGUAAUACAUCGGAACGUGCCCGAUCGUGGGGGAUAACGAAGCGAAAGCUUUGCUAAUACCGCAUACGAUCUACGGAUGAAAGCAGGGGACCGCAAGGCCUUGCGCGAACGGAGCGGCCGAUGGCAGAUUAGGUAGUUGGUGGGAUAAAAGCUUACCAAGCCGACGAUCUGUAGCUGGUCUGAGAGGACGACCAGCCACACUGGGACUGAGACACGGCCCAGACUCCUACGGGAGGCAGCAGUGGGGAAUUUUGGACAAUGGGCGAAAGCCUGAUCCAGUCAUGCCGCGUGCAGGAUGAAGGCCUUCGGGUUGUAAACUGCUUUUGUACGGAACGAAAAGACUCUGGUUAAUACCUGGGGUCCAUGACGGUACCGGAAGAAUAAGCACCGGCUAACUACGU